rnacentral:rRNA from 1 species
UGUUGUUUUCUCGAAAAUCAAUUAAAAAUGGCUUGAUUUUGUGUUGUAUUGACCUUAAAAGCUUUCUGCACUUUUUUCAUGUCUUUUUUAAUGCACUUUUCGUUUAACAAGUCAACAUCAGUUUCUUUUGUUGUAAAAAGGUCAUUGGAAGGUGGCUUUCUUUUCGGAGAAAGUGUUUAUAGCCUUUGACUCCUGCAAUCGGAGAGACUGAGGUCUGCAGCGUAGAUCCUUCUUGGAUUAGAUUCAUUUGUGCUAAGUUAUAGCUUUUUAUAGACAACUUGUUGACUAUAUUUAGUCUUGUAGCUUACUCGCUUAUGCAAUUUUACCUAC